rnacentral:rRNA from 1 species
GACGAACGCUGGCGGCGUGCCUAAUACAUGCAAGUCGAGCGCUGAAGGUUGGUACUUGUACCAACUGGAUGAGCAGCGGACGGGUGAGUAACGCGUGGGGAAUCUGCCUUUGAGCGGGGGACAACAUUUGGAAACGAAUGCUAAUACCGCAUAAAAACUUUAAACACAAGUUUUAAGUUUGAAAGAUGCAAUUGCAUCACUCAAAGAUGAUCCCGCGUUGUAUUUGCUAGUUGGUGAGGUAAAGGCCCACCAAGGCGAUGAUACAUAGCCGACCCGAGAGGGGGGUCCGCCCCCUUGGGACUGGGACACCGCCCCAACGCCUACGGGGGGCAGCCAUAGGGGAACCUCGGCCAAGGGCGGAAGUCUGACCGGGGAACGGCGCGUGGGUGGAGAAGGUUUUCGGGUCGGAAAACUCUGUUGGUAGGGAAGAACGUUAGUGGGAGUGGACAGCGCAUCAAGUGACGGUAACUACUCAGAAAGGGACGGCUAACUACGUG